UACGGAGGGUGCGAGCGUUAAUCGGAAUUACUGGGCGUAAAGCGUGCGCAGGCGGUUAUGCAAGGCAGAUGUGAAAGCCCCGGGCUCAACCUGGGAACUGCAUUUGAUACGGGCGGGCUUGAAUCCAAGAGAGGGUGGUGGAAUUCCCAGUGUAGAGGUGAAAUGCGUAGAUAUCGGAAGGAACAUCAGUGGCGAAAGCGGCUUCCUGGACCAGUACCGACGUUCAGGCACGAAAGCGUGGGGAGCAAACAGG
rnacentral:rRNA from 1 species